rnacentral:rRNA from 1 species
AUUGUACGCUGGCGGCAGGCUUAACACAUGCAAGUCGAGCGAGCGGCGGACGGGUGAGUAAUGUCUGGGAAACUGCCUGAUGGAGGGGGAUAACUACUGGAAACGGUAGCUAAUACCGCAUACCAUCAGAUGUGCCCAGAUGGGAUUAGCGAGUAGGUGGGGUAAUGGCUCACCUAGGCGACGAUCCCUAGCUGGUCUGAGAGGAUGACCAGCCACACGGGAACUGAGACACGGUCCAGACUCCUACGGGAGGCAGCAGUGGGGAAUAUUGCACAAUGGGCGAAAGCCUGAUGCAGCCAUGCCGCGUGUGUGAAGAAGGCUUUCGGGUUGUAAAGCACUUUCAGUCGGGAGGCGUUACCGACAGAAGAAGCACCGGCUAACUCCGUGCCAGCAGCCGCGGUAAUUC